CGGGGCUUAAAGUCUUGUAAUUGGAAUGAUGGGAAUUUAAACCUCUUCCAGAGUAUCAAUUGGAGGGCAAGUCUGGUGCCAGCAGCCGCGGUAAUUCCAGCUCCAAUAGCGUAUAUUAAAAUUGUUGCAGUUAAAAAGCUCGUAGUUGAAUUUCUGCUGCAUUGCUUGUGUCCCUCUGGGGUCUGUGCAUGUGGCUUUUUUCGGACGGAGUUUCUUUGUCUGAAUGUUUACUUUGAGAAAAUUAGAGUGCUCAAAGCAGGCUUUCGCCUUGAAUAGUUUAGCAUGGAAUAAUAAAGUAGGACUUUGGUUCUAUUUUGUUGGUUUUAGGUACCAAAGUAAUGGUUAAUAGAAACAGUUGGGGGCAUUCGUAUUUAACUGUCAGAGGUGAAAUUCUUAGAUUUGUUAAAGACGAACUACUGCGAAAGCAUUUGCCAAGGAUGUUUUCAUUAAUCAAGAAC
rnacentral:rRNA from 1 species